CCUACGGGGGGCAGCAGUGGGGAAUAUUGGGCAAUGGGCGCAAGCCUGAACCAGCCAUGCCGCGUGCAGGAAGACGGCUCUAUGAGUUGUAAACUGCUUUUGUACGAGGGUAAACGCAGAUACGCGUAUCUGUCUGAAAGUAUCGUACGAAUAAGGAUCGGCUAACUCCGUGCCAGCAGCCGCGGUAAUACGGAGGAUUCAAGCGUUAUCCGGAUUUAUUGGGUUUAAAGGGUGCGUAGGCGGUCGGAUAAGUUAGAGGUGAAAUCCCGAGGCUCAACUUCGGAAUUGCCUCUGAUACUGGUCGGCUAGAGAGUAGUUGCGGUAGGCGGAAUGUAUGGUGUAGCGGUGAAAUGCUUAGAGAUCAUACAGAACACCGAUUGCGAAGGCAGCUUACCAAGCUACUUCUGACGUUGAGGCACGAAAGCGUGGGGAGCAAACAGGAUUAGAUACCCCUGUAGUC
rnacentral:rRNA from 1 species